rnacentral:rRNA from 1 species
ACGGCUCAGUAACACGUCGGUAACCUGCCCUAUGGUCGAGCAUAACCUCGGGAAACUGAGGGUAAUUCUUGAUAGAUGAUAGCGCCUGGAAUGGCCUUUCAUUCAAACACGUGCCAUAGGAUGGGCCGGCGGCUGAUUAGGCUGUUGGUGGGGUAACGGCCCACCAAACCUGAGAUCAGUACGGGCCUUGAGAGAGGUAGCCCGGAGAGGGACACUGAGAUACGGGUCCCAGCCCCACGGGGUGCAGCAGGCGCGAAACCUUUACAAUGCACGAAAGUGUGAUAGGGGGAUACUCAGUGCUUACGACUAUGUUGUAGGCUUUUGUCGAUCGUAAAUAGAUCGGCGAAUAAGUGGUGGGAAAGACUGGUGCCAGCCGCCGCGGUAACCCCAGCGCCACGAGUGGUUAUCACGAUUAUUGGGCCUAAAGCGUUCGUAGCCGGUCUGGUGCAUCUCUUGUGAAAUUGUUUGGCUUAACCAAACAGCGUGCAGGAGACACGACCAGACUCGAGACCGGGAGGCGCAUGAAGUAUGCCGUGGGGACUGGUAAAAUGGGAUAAUCCACGGUAGACUACCGAUGGCGAAGGCAUCAUGCGAGAACGGAUCUGACGGUGAGGAACGAAAGCUAGGGGAGCGAACCGGAUUAGAUACCCGAGUAGUCCUAGCCGUAAACGCUGUGAGCUAGGUGCUGCGUAUCUCACGAAGAUGCGCGGUGUCGAAAUGAAGAUGCUAAGCUCACCGCCUGGGAAGUACGGUCGCAAGACUGAAACUUUAAGGAAUUGGCGGGGGAGCAC